rnacentral:rRNA from 1 species
GACGAACGCUGGCGGCGUGCUUAACACAUGCAAGUCGAACGGAAAGGCCCCCACUUUUUUGGUGGGGGUGCUCGAGUGGCGAACGGGUGAGUAACACGUGGGUGAUCUGCCCUGCACUUCGGGAUAAGCUUGGGAAACUGGGUCUAAUACCGGAUAGGACCAUGGUUUAGUGUCUCAUGGUGGAAAAAUUAUUGUUUUGGUGCAGGAUGAGCUCGCGGCCUAUCAGCUUGUUGGUGGGGUAAUGGCCUACCAAGGCGUCGACGGGUAGCCGGCCUGAGAGGGUGGACGGCCACAUUGGGACUGAGAUACGGCCCAGACUCCUACGGGAGGCAGCAGUGGGGAAUAUUGCACAAUGGGCGCAAGCCUGAUGCAGCGACGCCGCGUGGGGGAUGACGGCCUUCGGGUUGUAAACUCCUUUCGUUAGGGACGAAGCCACGCCUUUUUUGGGUGUGGAACGGACCUUGUAAGAAG